rnacentral:rRNA from 1 species
AUACGUAGGGUGCGAGCGUUGUCCGGAAUUACUGGGCGUAAAGAGCUCGUAGGUGGUUUGUCGCGUCGUCUGUGAAAUUCCGGGGCUUAACUCCGGGCGUGCAGGCGAUACGGGCAUAACUUGAGUACUGUAGGGGAGACUGGAAUUCCUGGUGUAGCGGUGAAAUGCGCAGAUAUCAGGAGGAACACCGGUGGCGAAGGCGGGUCGCUGGGCAGUAACUGACGCUGAGGAGCGAAAGCAUGGGUAGCGAACAGGAUUAGAUACCCUGGUAGUCCAUGCCGUAAACGGUGGGCGCUAGGUGUAGGGGUCUUCCACGACUUCUGUGCCGUAGCUAACGCAUUAAGCGCCCCGCCUGGGGAGUACGGCCGCAAGGCUAAAACUCAAAUGAAUUGACGGG